rnacentral:rRNA from 1 species
UACGUAGGGUGCAAGCGUUGUCCGGAAUUAUUGGGCGUAAAGAGCUCGUAGGCGGUUUGUCGCGUCGAAUGUGAAAACCCGAGGCUCAACCUCGGGCCUGCAGUGGGUACGGGCAGACUAGAGUGCGGUAGGGGAGAAUGGAAUUCCUGGUGUAGCGGUGGAAUGCGCAGAUAUCAGGAGGAACACCGAUGGCGAAGGCAGUUCUCUGGGCCGGUACUGACGCUGAGACGCGAAAGCGUGGGGAGCGAACAGG